rnacentral:rRNA from 1 species
CGGAGAGGGCGCCUGAGAAACGGCUACUACAUCCAAGGAAGGCAGCAGGCGCGCAAAUUACCCAAUCCCGACACGAGGAGGUAGUGACAAUAUGUAACAAUAUACGGCUUUAUUGUCGUAUAAUUGGAAUGAGUACAAUUUAAAUCCCUUAACGAGGAACAAUUGGAGGGCAAGUCUGGUGCCAGCAGCCGCGGUAAUUCCAGCUCCAAUAGCGUAUAUUAAAGUUGUUGCAGUUAAAAAGCUCGUAGUUGGACCUUGGGCCUGGACAGGCGGUCCGCCUCACGGCGUGUACUGUCUUGCUGGGCCUUUCCUCUUGGUGAUCUGUGGUUUCGGCCGCAGGGAACCAGGACCUUUACUUUGAAAAAAUUAGAGUGUUCAAAGCAGGCUUUACGCCAGAAUAUAUUAGCAUGGAAUAAUAAAAUAGGACGUGCGGUUCUAUUUUGUUGGUUUUUGGGAUCGCCGUAAUGAUUAAUAGGGACAGUCGGGGGCAUUAGUACUCACAUGCUAGAGGUGAAAUUCUUGGAUUUUGUGAAGACUAACUUCUGCGAAAGCAUUUGCCAAGGAUGUUUUCAUUAAUCAAGAACGAAGGUUAGGGUAUCGAAAACGAUUAGAUACGGUUGUAGUCUUAACAGUAAACUAUGCCGACUAGGGAUCGGUCGAUGUUAUUUUCUUGACUCGAUCGGCACCUUACGAGAAAUCAAGGUUUUUGGGUUCUGGG